rnacentral:misc_RNA from 1 species
GAUGAAGAACGUAGUGAACGUGCGAAACGUAAUGUGAAUUGCAGAAUUCAGUGAAUCAUCGAAUCUUUGAACGCAUCUUGCGCUCCUUGGUAUUCCGAGGAGCAUGCCUGUUUGAGUGUCGUGAAAUACUCUCAAUUUCAAUCUUUUUGUUUGAAAUUGGAUUUGGGCGUUGUCGUGAAUUCACGACUUGCCCUAAAUGCAUUGGCGAUCCCUGUCUUUGAUCACACAAUGUGAUAAUAAAAAAACAUUGUUACAGUCGAGUCAAGGUUGCUUCUAACUGUCUGUCACCAGACAACCAUUACAUGUCAUUUGACCUCAAAUCAGGUAGGACUACCCGCUGAACUUAAGCAUAUCAAUAAGCGGAGGA